rnacentral:rRNA from 1 species
CAGCAGCCACGGUAAGACAGAGGAUGCAAGCGUUAUCCGGAAUGAUUGGGCGUAAAGUGUCUGUAGGUGGCUUUUCAAGUCCGCCGUCAAAUCCCAGGGCUCAACCCUGGACAGGUGGUGGAAACUACCAAGCUGGAGUAUGGUAGGGGCAGAGGGAAUUUCCGGUGGAGCGGUGAAAUGCAUUGAGAUCGGAAAGAACACCAACGGCGAAAGCACUCUGCUGGGCCGACAUUGACACUGAGAGACGAAAGGUAGGGGAGCAAAUGGGAUUAGAUACCCCUGUAGUCCCUGUCUCUUAUAC